CCUGCCAGGACCCUGCAGCUCUGGCAAGGAGCCCAGCCCCAGGAUCCCGUUCUGUGAUCCGGAAAGAACACAGACCACCCGCCAUGGAGUUUCGGCUGAACUGGGUGGUCUUGUUUGCUCUCUUACAAGGUGUCCAGGGUGAGGAGAAGCUGGUGGAGUCUGGAGGAGGCCUGGUGCAGCCUGGGGGGUCUCAGACUCUCCUGUGUCGGCUCUGGAUUCACCUUCAGUAGUUAUGCAUGAGCUGGGUCCGCCAGGCUCCAGGGAAGGGGCUGGAGUGGCUGGCAGGUAUUUAUAGUAGUGGUAGUAGCACCUACUACGCAGACUCUGUGAAGGGCCGAUUCACCAUCUCCAAAGACAACUCCCAGAACACGGCCUAUCUGCAAAUGAACAGCCUGAGAACCGAAGACACGGCCCGCUAUUACUGUGCAAGGCACAGUGAGGGGAAAGCAGUCUGA